rnacentral:rRNA from 1 species
AUGCGCUCCUGUCUGAUCGAUAUUUGUGAAUCUGCGAGCAAGGGUGAGCUCCACGGCGUCGGUGGCGGGGCUGGCCGCUGGUGGCAGCAGGAAUUCACCAUCGGUCCUCAAAUCCACCAUACUACGCUGCUGCACAAUCUCAACCAGGUGGGGAAUUCUUCUUAUGUGGCGCAGGUUAACACUUAUCUAGGUGAAAACCCAUUCUUGAAGAAGAACUUGCCAAUUGACCCAUCCGGCAAUCAGCUUAUUAGGGAUGGCCAUUGGAUGUACUGUGUCAACAUUGGCAUGCAUGAUUUAGUAGAAGGAAGGAUGCUUACUUGUCAUGGGAAUGUUCAUGAUCCGCGAGCCAGGGCAUUCGGUACUAACCAGUGGCCAAGAAAAGAGUUGAAGGUGUUUACUUUAUCAACAAGAUUAGACCUGGUUGGCUUGAGCCUGAACAUGAACUGCAAGUCCCAUAUAGAGAGAUCGAUGAUAAGAAGCAUACGUGUUACCUCCAACUUGUGGUCCUCUCCCAAGAUAUUUUGUUUCAGCAAACUUGAUCAUGUGGACAUUGUUAUGUACAGAAUAGAGGACACGUCAUGCAUGCCCCCAAUGCGUGCACGUGAUUCACUGUACGUGUGCGUGAGUUUCACUUUCACCCACCCAGACGAGUACAGUAGUACUCCCGAGGCGGCCGACAUGGUGCACACAUUGGGUUAUGGCGUCACGUGGUUUUUGACUCGAUGCAACAUCCACGUUGCCUAUCUCUGCCUAGAUUAG